CCUACGGGCGGCAGCAGUGGGGAAUAUUGGGCAAUGGGCGCACGCCUGACCCAGCAACGCCGCGUGAAGGAAGAAGGCUUUCGGGUUGUAAACUUCUUUUCUCAGGGACGAAGCAAGUGACGGUACCUGAGGAAUAAGCCACGGCUAAAUACGUGCCAGCAGCCGCGGUAAUAAGUAGGUGGCAAGCGUUAUCAGGAUUUAUUGGGUGUAAAGGGCGUGUAAGCGGGAGCGGAAGUCAGAUGUGAAAACUCAGGGCUCAACCCUGAGCCUGCAGUUGAAACUGUGUUUCUUGAGUGCUGGGGAGGCAAGCGGAAUGCCGUGUGUAGCGGUGAAAUGCGUAGAUAUACGGAAGAACACCAGUUGCGAAGGCGGAUUGCUGGACAGUAACUGACGCUGAGGCGCGAAAGCGUGGGUAGCGAACAGGAUUAGAUACCCGAGUAGUC
rnacentral:rRNA from 1 species